CAGCAGCCGCGGUAAUACGAAGGGGGCUAGCGUUGCUCGGAAUGACUGGGCGUAAAGGGCGCGUAGGCGGCGGCCAAAGUCAGGCGUGAAAUUCCCGGGCUCAACCUGGGGGCUGCGUUUGAUACUUGGUUGCUUGAGUGGGGAAGAGGGUCGUGGAAUUCCCAGUGUAGAGGUGAAAUUCGUAGAUACUGGGAAGAACACCGGUGGCGAAGGCGGCGACCUGGUCCUUGACUGACGCUGAGGCGCGAAAGCGUGGGGAGCAAACAGGAUUAGAUACCCGCGUAGUCCCUGUCUCUUAUAC
rnacentral:rRNA from 1 species